AGGCGGGCCCAGUGGCGGAAGGAGCAUGGCGUGGAGACAGCUCAAAAAGCGGGCCCAGGAUGCCAUGGUGAUCCUGGGGGGCGGAGGACUUCUCUUCGCCUCCUACCUGACGGCCACGGGGGAUGAACGUUUCUACGCGGACCACUUGAUGCCGGCUCUGCAGGGGCUGCUGGACCCCGAGGCAGCCCACAGGCUGGCUGUUCACGUCACCUCCCUGGGGCUCCUUCCUCGUGCCACGUUUCAAGACUCUGACAUGCUGGAAGUGAGAGUCCUGGGCCAUAAAUUCCGAAAUCCAGUAGGAAUCGCUGCAGGAUUUGACAAGCACGGGGAAGCUGUGGAUGGACUUUACAAGAUGGGCUUUGGUUUUGUUGAGAUAGGCAGUGUUACCCCAAAACCUCAGGAAGGAAACCCCAGACCCAGGGUCUUCCGCCUCCCUGAGGACCAAGCCGUCAUUAACAGAUACGGAUUCAACAGUCACGGACUCUCAGUGGUGGAACACAGGUUACGGGCCAGACAGCAGACGCAGGCCAGGCUCACAGAAGAUGGGCUGCCACUGGGAAUAAACCUGGGGAAGAAUAAGACCUCGGUGGACGCUGCCUCGGACUACGCAGAGGGGGUUCGAGUCCUGGGCCCCUUGGCUGACUACCUGGUAGUGAAUGUGUCCAGUCCCAACACGGCUGGGCUGAGGAGCCUUCAGGGAAAGGCCGAGCUGCGCCGCCUGCUGACCAAGGUGCUGCAGGAGAGGAAUGCCCUGAAGGUAGUGCACAAGCCAGCCGUGCUGGUGAAGAUCGCUCCUGACCUCACGGCCCAGGACAAGCAGGAUAUUGCCAGCGUGGUGAGAGAGUUGGGCAUCGAUGGACUGAUUGUCACGAACACCACAGUGAGUCGCCCUGCCAGCCUCCAGGGGGCCCUGCGCUCUGAAAUGGGAGGGCUGAGUGGGAAGCCCCUCCGAGAUUUAUCAACGCAAACCGUCAGGGAGAUGUAUGCACUCACCCAAGGCAGAGUUCCCAUCAUCGGGGUUGGUGGUGUCAGCAGCGGGCAGGAUGCGCUGGAGAAGAUCCGGGCAGGGGCCUCCCUGGUGCAGCUGUACACAGCCCUCACCUACCGGGGGCCGCCCCUGGUGGGCAGAGUCAAGCGGGAGCUGGAGGCCCUUUUGAAGGAGCAGGGUUUUACGAGAGUCACAGAUGCCAUUGGAGCAGAUCAUCGGAGAUAAAAUGAGGGCUUUGAGAGAUUAAAUAACCUCCCCAAACCAGGCAGCUGGGAAUCAGCGGAACUGGGCCCCAGGGCCUGAGUAUCUCCUGAUGAAGAUAGGUGAUGGGACUUGUGGAUCCUUGCUGCUGUGCUGCAAUCUCGGUGAUAGGGGAUACCCUUGGAGAAGUUGAGGGCCAAGAUGCCGUCUUCUCUCUCCACACCCACAAACUCUGAGAUCCACCCUGGCUAAGACUCAGGAUUCAACCCACUACCCUCAGACCCUCUGAACUGACUGGCUCCAGAGUGCCGACAGGAACAGCAUUCCUGUUCAUCAGGACGUGGUCAACCUUAUGUGAAAAAGACUGUGGAACAGCCAAACCAAAUAGAGAAUUACUCUCCCCCAAUUUUUAUUAUAAGACAUUUAGACAUAAGAAGAGUUGAAAGAAUAGUGUAACAAACAUCUAUACCCCCUCCACCUAGACUCAUUAAUUCCUUCUAUCUUUUCCAUGCUUUUCUUACCAAUCUUUUUAAUCUAUUUAUAUACAGUAUUUUGAUGAACCAUUUUGAAGGAAACGGUAGAUGUCAGGACACUUCACUCCUAAGUACUUCAUAGCCUGCAUCUGCUAAAAAUGAGGAUAUGUUCCUAUGAAAACAUAACUCUAUGAUCCCACCUAAGAAAACAGCCAUGAUUUCCUAAUAUCAUCUAACAUUUAGUCCAUAUUCCAAGUUUCCCCAUUCUCCUAAAAAUAACUUCUAGAGUCAAUCAAGACUCACCUGUAUGUUUCUUUAGUCUUUUUAAAUCUGAAGCCGUCACCUCUGAAGACAUCAGGCGAGUUGUCUUAUAAACGGUUCUACAUUCUGGAUUCCCAGAAUAGAGGCUAUAUUUCCUUUAGCCUUUGAUCUCUGCUGUAGCUGCAUGUGGAUAUAUGACCAAAUUCUACUCAGUGAGAUACGUAUGAAAGUACCGUGUGCAACUUCUGGGAAGUCUGCCGCUGCCCGGAUCAUGAUGUCUGGAGCUUUGGCAGCCUUUUUAGACCUGAGGAUCAAGGUCAUUCCAGAGGCAUAAGUUGGAAAGGGCUUCAUACCAGCUCUGUCUGCUUAUUUCCCUACCUCUUUUAUUUGAGGAAAUAAAACCUUGUGUGCUUAAGUCACUGUCAA